UAUUGGGUAGAACUGAUGGUACUGCAUGGGCGGCAGCCGGACUGCCGGCCCGCGUUAGUAUUUGGCUGACUGUCACUGGACGCGGACGUCGGGCCCGUCACUCCAGCAACUACACCCAACAUGGUAUUAAAAUCCUGUGGAAGUUGGAACCCUAUUUUUGAAGCUGAUAGUGGCAGCAGUCUGCUGGCAAGAUGAAAACGUGACACAAUGAGGCCACCUAGAAUGCAACCUUCAACAUACUUUUGCACCUCAAACCUUUGUUGAGGCUCUUUAUAAAAUAUCUGGAUUGAUGGCAUUGAUGAACACGCUGGAAGAGAAUGGAUACGAGGAUAUUUAACAUUUUGCAGACCAGCUCAACCUUUCAAAAUUGCAGUAUAGCUAUAAAGAUGAAGACGCUAACACAAGAUGAACACAAAAUUGAAGAUGAACACGCUACAUUGCAUCACCCUUAUUCCAUUUUUGUAAUAGGAUAGAAUAGUUCCAUAUAUAAAGGUAGCUUUAUUAGUGUAAUGGGCAAAUGGUUAGACGUGAAGUUAACUACAUUAAAUUAGGGGAUGAUGCCUUCUCAAAUGUUUAUAGCGAUUUGAAAAAUAUUGCUAUUUAGGCAGUUUAUUAGCCUAUCAUGGAACAGCAAAGAAAAAAUGUGUACGGCCAUUGAUAAAGGUCAAUAACCAAAAUCUAAAGUUCUAAUUAUCUCCUGGAGUAAAGCUUACUCUCAUCAAGAUUACUUCAGUUAUGGAGGAGUUAUCAAUUAAUGGUGA